rnacentral:rRNA from 1 species
UACGUAGGGGGCAAGCGUUGUCCGGAAUUAUUGGGCGUAAAGAGCUCGUAGGCGGUUUGUCGCGUCUGCUGUGAAAACUCAGGGCUUAACCCUGAGCCUGCAGUGGGUACGGGCAGACUAGAGUGUGGUAGGGGAGAUCGGAAUUCCUGGUGUAGCGGUGGAAUGCGCAGAUAUCAGGAGGAACACCGGUGGCGAAGGCGGAUCUCUGGGCCAUAACUGACGCUGAGGAGCGAAAGCAUGGGGAGCGAACAGGA